UAAAGAACCAAGCUGCAGGGGGUCUUCCUCUUUCAUUUCGUAUCUGGGUUGACCAGUCGUAUUUCUUUUGUCUUUUGCAUUCGAGAUUUGGGCUAAAACUCCCUGAGAACAAGAAAUAGCCUAUGUACCUCUCGUCCAUUUGCUGCAGGUUACAAGUAAACCUAACCGAACAUGUUAAUUAACAUGGAUCAAACAUGCUACUAAAUUAAAUCCAGCUGGGUUUUGGCAGAUCGGUUACAGGAGGGAAGGUCACAUGGUCAAGAUAGGUAGAAAUAACGGCGAAGACAUCAGCAUAAUGCCGGUGGGGAUGGGGUUAAGGAAUGGCAGGAUGCAACACGCGUGAGCCAGCUGAGUACAGCAUGGCUCAAGAGAGCGACUGGAAAGUGCCGUUGAUGCCGUAUUUAUUAUACUCGUUGUUAGGGCUUCCUUUGAUGUGUCUACUGGCUUUCCAUGUCUUCUUAUUCCAAAGGUCUUUCAAAACAUACCAUAUUUUGUAAUAUUCAAUCAUGCUUGUGUAUUUCUUCCCUUCUCGGGCCUUUACCGAUGUUUUCCUAAAAUGGCUUGAGGAACAUUUUGAAAGUAAAAUUGUCUAUGUUUCAAUGCACGUUCUUAUGUGAGAAACAAGCUAAUUUUAGUGACCUGAGCGAAUAACAUCGGUGAAAGUCCGAGUUACAAUAUUUCAGUUCAUAUAUAAUUCAGCGUUAAUUAUCCCAUAAUGAAUAUAAUUGCACCUGUACACAACAGUACUGACAUGUGACCAGCUGGUGUGGAGAGGUCUGUCUGAUGUUAAGACUGGGUUAGUGCGUUUCUGGAACUGGCACUGCAGUGUAUUGUGUGAUGAUGCAGGCAGCUGUCUGUGAGCUGGUCAGUACAGCACGUGUCUGAUUUUGUACUUGUUGAGUAGUGCUGACAAUUCUGGGUUGCUGAAUUCUUGUUUAAGGUUUCAGGGAGGCAGAAUGUAAAAACUGACAUAUUUUCUGUACCAGAACGUGUCUGCAAAGGGUGAACCUUUUGGCAACUUGGAGGGUAUUUUGUAUAAUUUUAUAUAAAACCACACUAAACUAUGUAAUCCAUAAUGACUGUCGUAAAUUGUCAAAAUAUGUAUAUAAAAAUUUGUUUGUAUUGUUACUACAGAGUGGCACAAAAGUCUCUUAACCUAAAAUAUUCUGUCAUAUGUACUGGGAUUUCCAUAAUUUAAUUCGCCACUCAAUUUGUAGAACGGUAUCACAGCGUUGUCAGUCUUGAACUGAACAUGGAGGAUUUCAUAUCGAAGAGUUGUCAGAAAGUAAUAAAUUUCAAACGUAUUUUAGUGUACAUUAUACUAACCAGUUAACUGACAUUUGGUCCACUUUGUAUGUGAGAUUAUUGUGUGGAAAUGCAAUGGCAGUAACUACAGUUGUUAAAAUAUGGGAUUCCACGUUAUUGAAGAGAUUAAUUUAAAGGUAUAUUUCGAUAUAUUCUCUAUGGAAAGUGUAUGGUACACUAAAAUCUGUAUUUUUAUUGGAAAACGUGACUUUUUUGUAAUCAGAUUAAAUCACAUUCCACUGACA